AGAGUUUGAUCCUGGCUCAGAGCGAACGCUGGCGGCAGGCCUAACACAUGCAAGUCGAACGGGCUCUUCGGAGCUAGUGGCGGACGGGUGAGUAACACGUGGGAACGUGCCUUUAGGUUCGGAAUAAGCCCGGGAAACUGGGUCUAAUACCGAAUGUGCCCUUCGGGGGAAAGAUUUAUCGCCUUUAGAGCGGCCCGCGUCUGAUUAGCUUGUUGGUGAGGUAAUGGCUCACCAAGGCGACGAUCAGUAGCUGGUCUGAGAGGAUGACCAGCCACAUUGGGACUGAGACACGGCCCAAACUCCUACGGGAGGCAGCAGUGGGGAAUCUUGUGCAAUGGGCGAAAGCCUGACGCAGCCAUGCCGCGUGGAUGAUGAAGGUCUUAGGAUUGUAAAAUCCUUUCACCGGUGAAGAUAAUGACUGUAGCCGGAGAAGAAGCCCCGGCUAACUUCGUG
rnacentral:rRNA from 1 species